CGCCUUGCCAGCCCGCUCAGAAACUUAAAGGAAUUGACGGGGGCCCGCACAAGCGGAGGAACAUGUGGUUUAAUUCGAUGAUACGCGAGGAACCUUACCUGGGCUAGAACGCAUUCGGAAUCAGGCCGAAAGGUCUGCGCCAGCGAUGGCCGCUUGCGAGGUGCUGCAUGGUUGUCGUCAGCUCGUGCCGUGAGGUGUCGGGUUAAGUCCCAUAACGAGCGCAACCCCUACUGCUAGUUGCCAGCGGGUCAUGCCGGGGACUCUAGCGGAACUGCCAGCGUAAGCUGCGAGGAAGGUGGGGAUGACGUCAAAUCAGCACGGCCCUUACGUCCAGGGCUACACACGUGUUACAAUGGCCAGUACAGAGGGCAGCCACCCCGCGAGGGGGCGCUAAUCCUAAAAGCUGGUCCCAGUUCGGAUCGGAGUCUGCAACCCGACUCCGUGAAGCUGGAUUCGCUAGUAAUCGCGCAUCAGCCACGGCGCGGUGAAUACGUUCCCGGGCCUU
rnacentral:rRNA from 1 species